CUAAGAGUUCGGGCCGCACGCGCGCUACACUGACGGAGCCAGCGAGUCUACCUUGGCCGAGAGGCCCGGGAAAAUCUUGUGAAACUCCGUCGUGCUGGGGAUAGAGCAUUGCAAUUUUUGCUCUUCAACGAGGAAUUCCUAGUAAGCGCAAGUCAUCAGCUUGCGUUGAUUACGUCCCUGCCCUUUGUACACACCGCCCGUCGCUACUACCGAUUGAAUGGCUUAGUGAGGCAUCGGGAUGGAAAGAAAAGAGGGGCAACCCUCUCUUCUGUCUAAAACUUUGUCAAACUUGGUCAUUUAGAGGAAGUAAAAGUCGUAACAAGGUUUCCGUAGGUGAACCUGCGGAAGGAUCAUUAACAUUAAUUUACUACACACUGUUUUUUUACAACAAAACAAAUCUAUCUAAAAACAAUUCUUUACAAGAAAUUCUUAAAACUUUCAACAACGGAUCUCUUGGUUCUCGCAUCGAUGAAGAACGCAGCGAAAUGCGAUACGUAAUACGAAUCGCAGCUCUCGGAAUCAUCGAAUCUUUGAACGCACAUUGCACCAUUGGGUAUUCCCAAUGGUAUGCUUGUUUGAGCGAAUACUUCCCUAAUCCUCACGGAUUGUAUUGUGUUUGCACGAAAAUAAUGACGACAGUACUCUACAAAACGGUACCGUCAGUACACUCAUUUUUUUUCCUCAAAUCAAGUAGGACUACCCGCUGACUUAAGCAUAUCAAUAAGCGGAGGAAAAGAAACCCACAGGGAUGGCCUCA
rnacentral:rRNA from 1 species